UACGUAGGGUCCGAGCGUUGUCCGGAAUUACUGGGCGUAAAGAGCUCGUAGGUGGUUUGUCGCGUUGUUCGUGAAAACUCACAGCUUAACUGUGGGCGUGCGGGCGAUACGGGCAGACUGGAGUACUGCAGGGGAGACUGGAAUUCCUGGUGUAGCGGUGAAAUGCGCAGAUAUCAGGAGGAACACCGAUGGCGAAGGCAGGUCUCUGGGCAUUACCUGACGCUGAGGAGCGAAAGUGUGGGGAGCGAACAGG
rnacentral:rRNA from 1 species